GAUGAACGCUAGCGGCAGGCUUAAUACAUGCAAGUCGAGGGGCAGCACAGGUAGCAAUACUGGGUGGCGACCGGCAAACGGGUGCGGAACACGUACACAACUUACCUUCUGGUGGGGGGUAGCCUUUGGAAACGGAGAUUAAUACCCCAUAUUAUAUAUGAGCUGCAUGGUUUGUAUAUUAAAGAUUUAUUGCCGGAAGAUGGGUGUGCGUAUGAUUAGGUAGUUGGCGGGGUAACGGCCCACCAAGCCGACGAUCAUUAACUGGUGUGAGAGCACGACCAGUCACACGGGCACUGAGACACGGGCCCGACUCCUACGGGAGGCAGCAGUAAGGAAUAUUGGUCAAUGGACGGAAGUCUGAACCAGCCAUGCCGCGUGGAGGAUGAAGGUCCUCUGGAUUGUAAACUUCUUUUAUAGGGGGCGAAAAAAGGGAAUUCUUUCUCGUCUGACGGUACCCUAUGAAUAAGCACCGGCUAACUCCGUGCCAGCCGCCGCAGUAACAC
rnacentral:rRNA from 1 species